CAGACACCCAGAGGAAAAGACAAGAAGUAUGAGGGACAGUGUGACCAUAGAGACAGAGAUUGGAGUGAUCCAGCCCCAAGCCGAGGAACGCCUGCAGCCACCAGGAACUGGGAGAGAUGAGGAAAGAGCCUCCUCUAGAGCCUUCUGAAGGAGUGUGAACCUGUCAACACCUUGAUUUUGGACUUCUGACUUCCAGGACUGGGACAUAACACAUGUCUGUUAUGUUAAACCUCCCAGUUUGUUGCAGUUUGUAACAGCAGGCCAUGGAGGCUAGAACAGUCUCAUUCAGCCUCAACAACUCCAUCAUACAGGCAUAUUUAGGCACCUUGGUCCUACUGUCUGGGGACAUUCAGUCAGCCCACUGUAAGGUCCAGAAGUGAGCAGUUGAAAUGGUGUGGCACUUCUAUUCCACUAGGUCUUCAGGAACCUACACUUCUGUUUGCUCACAAUGAUCCUUGUGGUGCAAGAUAGUGCCUAGAGCUCCAGCCAUCACAACUGUAUUCCAGGAAUCACCUAUGAAUUUUCAACAAUUAUAUUUUGUUAACUGUUUCUGUGCAUUUGGAGCAGGAGAAUCAGGUAUAUUUACUCAGUCUUCUCUGUUGCCGAAAUCUGAAUCCCCCUUUCAAAUUCUCCCCAGAAGCUUUCUGAUCAUGACUUGUUAUGUAGGUUUUCAUCCUUUAGUGUGUCACUCUGGGGUGUGUGUGUGAGCGCACCUGCACAUGUGUGUUCCUACAUGUCCAGGUUCUCCCAGGGCAACACUGGCAUUUCCUACAUUUCUGUGGCCUGGUGUGAUGGCGAGGCUCUCGUGCCUGCUUGCUGAUGGAAGCAUGGAAGAAGAGGGGCUCUCACAGAUAGCUGAGCCCAGCACAGUGCAGGCAGCAUCAACAGGGCUCCUAAAUCCAGCCCAGCAAUUCUAGCUUUCAAGUGAACACAAUAAGGUAAUUUUGAGUAUUUGGUUUACAAGAAGGUGGGCAGGGAAGUUAAAUAUAAGGAAUGGAAAAGGGUCUGACACUUCUUUUUUUGAAAAAGAGCAAGCCCUCAUUUUUGGGGGUAGUAUACAAAUAGAUAGCUAUGACUCACUACACAGCUUGCAUUCUUUAAAAAACCUAUAGUCUUUAGGUGAGUAUCUAGAAAACUUGACAUUCUCAUGUCAUUCUAACCUUGAUCACGUGUGAAAACCUAACUUGCAUUGGAGAUGAAACCCCCACGCAUGGUCCAAGGUAACAUCCUGAGACGGCUCCUCCAGGAGCUGGCCUCCUUUUUGAAGGGCCAGAGCAGGCUCUUCCCCCACAAACAACGCUCCCAUGGGCCCUGCAUGGGCUCCACUCAAAAGUGGCCCAGCUCUUCCUAGGGAGACCUCUCCAGACGGCUGUGGGGAGGCACUCCUCCUGGGGUUUCUGAGCUGGGCUGCAGGGAUGGUGUAAUGCACAGGGUUUCUUGGAGAAGGGCGCCCUGGAGAUGCUGAGAUACCUGUAGCACAUAGGUAUGCGUCAAACACUCUAUUUGUUGGUUGUUUUUUCCAUAUGAUGACUCUGAACUACUUCUGACACAGUGAAAUGAAACCAAACCAAAUCAAAUCCAAACCAAUCCAAUCCAAAGAACUUGCUUAACCUCAGGCUUAGCUUGUGAUCUUUUAGUUGGAAAGAAAUCACAGUUCUCACAAGUGUAGUACCAACCACUUGCCUAAAAAGUUACUGCGGUGCUUAGUUAAGAUUAUCUUUAUCUGGUGUAUACCACCUUUUGGGUUAUAGAUAGAUAGAUAGAUAGUUUCAUUGUGCCACAACCUGGCAUUUUCAUGUUUCUUUGACCAAGUACAGAAUUUGCUUGACUCUAACCUGGAGAGUUCCUUAGGUGAUGACCUUUCAUGGAAGUUCUAUGACAGUAAAUAAACUAUUAACUGAAGGAAAAUGUUAUAAUUAAUAUGUCUCUUUGCUGCAUCGUAUAUGGAUUAAGUGAUAAAAACACUUAAGUAGUCGACCUUCAGAGCCAUAUAUUUGAGAACACUCAAAUCAUUAACUAUUAUAUUUUCCUACAAAAUUUUUUUAUAAAUCUAGUUUUAAAUUAUGUUAUAAAAAUAGGAAACUCGGC
rnacentral:lncRNA from 10 species